rnacentral:rRNA from 1 species
CACGUAGGGGGCAAGCGUUGUCCGGAUUUAUUGGGCGUAAAGAGCUCGUAGGUGGUUCGGUAAGUCGGGUGUGAAAACUCUGGGCUCAACUCAGAGACGCCACCCGAUACUGCUGUGACUUGAGUCUGGUAGGGGAGUGUGGAAUUCCCAGUGUAGCGGUGAAAUGCGCAGAUAUUGGGAGGAACACCAGUGGCGAAGGCGGCACUCUGGGCCGAUACUGACGCUGAGGAGCGAAAGCGUGGGGAGCGAACAGG